rnacentral:rRNA from 1 species
UAAUUCUCUAGUGGCGCACGGGUGAGUAACACGUGAGUAACCUGCCCCCGAGAGCGGGAUAGCCCUGGGAAACUGGGAUUAAUACCGCAUAGUAUCGAAAGAUUAAAGCGGCAAUGCGCUUGGGGAUGGGCUCGCGGCCUAUUAGUUAGUUGGUGAGGUAACGGCUCACCAAGGCGAUGACGGGUAGCCGGUCUGAGAGGAUGUCCGGCCACACUGGAACUGAGACACGGUCCAGACACCUACGGAAGGCAGCAG